UGCGUAGGGUGCAAGCGUUAAUCGGAAUUACUGGGCGUAAAGCGUGCGCAGGCGGUUUUGUAAGUCAGAUGUGAAAUCCCCGGGCUUAACCUGGGAACUGCGUUUGAAACUACAAGGCUAGAGUGUGGCAGAGGGGGGUGGAAUUCCACGUGUAGCAGUGAAAUGCGUAGAGAUGUGGAGGAACACCGAUGGCGGAAAGGGCAGCCCCCUGGGUUAACACUGACGCUCAGGCACGAAAGCGUGGGGAGCAAACAGG
rnacentral:rRNA from 1 species